rnacentral:rRNA from 1 species
AUGGCUGAAGUGAGGAUUGCCAGCAGGACGGCUGUAGCCGAUCGCUCUGGCGGUGGAUUCUUCGUGAGGAGGGUGGCGUCUCCCGGAGCCGUGGUGGACAAGGGCGCCGUCAAGCCGCUUGCUCGUCGGGUCCCGUCACCGUCGAGCAACAAGGAGAACGUGCCACCAGCGUGGGCUGCGUGGACUGCACCCAAGAGGAGGAGCUCCCUGCCCGAGUGGUACCCAAGGACCCCACUCCGCGAUAUCACAUCAGUCAUCAAGGCUGUUGAGAGGAAAAGUCGGCUGCGAGAUGCUGUGGCUCGGCAGCAGCUCCAGUGGGAUGAAGAAGACUCCUCGGAGCCUGAGGAUCCAGCACAAACAGAUGAGGGUAUUCAUGGAAGCACAGCACCAACAAACGAAACCCUGGGUGUUGGCUCGGCUCAAGUUGUUGAAACCACCGCAGCAUCAGCAACCUGCUUGGGCGAGGGCGAGAGCACCACGGUGGUGAAGGCAUCUGAUGACUGCUCCUUGCAGUCUCCAUCCAGACCAAGUGGAGAAGACGACGUGGAGAAGCAACUGGCCAACUCCAUACAAGAGAUUGAGAAUAUGGUGAGCCGGAACCUGAAGCGAACCGAUCCCAAGGCUACUCGGCCUUCCAAGACCCCGGCUGUCCAGAGGCGCACCCUGAUGUCUAUGCGCUGA